UCCAUCUGCACCAUAGUUCUGAAACUCGCUAACUCUACUCAAAACCGAUAACCAUCCCAUCCAUGGCUUGAAAAAAGGACGGCCAUAGAAAAUAAGGCCAAAUCAAAAUUGGAUUGGAUAAUCCGAUUGGUGUGAUUUUUUCAUCGUAGCCCAUGAAAUUUGUUCUAAACUCAAUGAACAGAUCAGAUUGACAACUAGACUAUCUAGGUGAACCAAUGCCACUAGGAGAACUAUAACUUAGUAUCUCUCGAACUAAUUUACACUCUAAUUACCUAAUCUAUUGCAGUUCCAACCAACUGCGCAUCAAAAUGCAGCUUUAACCAUAGUUCAGUACUGUAAUAUUGUAAUCACUAUAUUUUGGUAACUUUCCUCAUUCAAAUUGAACUAGUUUAUUGCAAUUCAAUUCAAUAGUGGAUCCAAAUUUGAAUGGUAUAAAGGAAAUGACCUGUUUGGAUACAAUAUUUAAUACUGAAGUAGUUUGCAAUUUGUUUCAAUUCAAUAGCACACUUCCAUUCUUUCAAAUGCAUUUAUCAAGAAUCAUAAAGAGAAAGUUCUGCGGAAAUACAAUUGUAUCAAAAGAGGCCAUGAGUUCAGGACGCACCUUUAAACCAAUGCAGCUUAAGUGAAAUAUGGACAGGCAUCCGCCCCCACAGACUACUGAUUCGUUCCCAUAGUGACGACAGAUAUUGCAUAUUCCAUUGCUUAUGGAGCAAGGGGCGUUACUCUUUGUUUCCUCAUGCAGAUGUCCUGUGAAACUGUGAACCUUAUCAUCACCCUCCAUUUGCUGAAUUUUAAGAUGGGGUUGAUCGCUCUCAAUUUGCUCAUGCAGAUAUCCGCCUUUAACAUCAUUACUGCUCGCCAUUUGCUGAAUUUCAGGGUGGGGCGAAUUGCUCUCAAAUUGCUCAUGGAAAUAUCCAGUGAAAUCUUCAACCUUUUCAUCACCCUUCAUUUGUUGAAUGUCAGUGUGGGGCGGAAUGCUAUCCAUUUGUUUUUGUGGGUCUUGUUCAUAGCCUUUAACUUCAUUACCGUUCUCUGUUCGAUGAAUUUCAGGGUAGGGCAGAUUGCUUUCAAUUUGCUCAUGAAGAUGUCCAGUGGAAAUUUCAACCUUGUCAUCACCUUCCACUAGUUGAAUGACAGGGUAGGACAGAUAGUCAUCGAUUUGCACUUGUAGAAUGUCAAGGUGGGAUCCAUAUCCUGUGAAACUUUCAUCCUUCACAUUAUCUUCUCUUUGUUGAAUUAUAGGGUGAGGCUCAUCACUUUCCAUUUCCUCAUGUAGAUAUGCUAAGAAGUCCCCAACAUUUAUAUCAUCCUCCAUUUGUUGCACGUUAGUGUGGGGCAAAUCACUCUCCAUUUGCUUGUGCAGAUCUUGUUCAAGGCCUUUAACUUCAUCAUCAUGCUUUAUUUGUAUUUGGCACUGCAUCAGUGACCUUCCAUCUUCCAAGAAGAUAUUGGUAGAAGGCCUGCGACUGUUGCUACUUGCAUGGAUCUCAAACUUGGAAAGACCGUAUACUUUUUCACAACACAAUCAUUUGAUUCCUUGGCGCCUUAUCCACCCUGCUGCCAUAACACUCUUAUCCUUUUUAUUCAAGUAACAUGCCCUCUGACCCAACAUCAUUAUUAUCUAUCAAAGUUGAGAGAUUGGUUGUAGUUCCACGCCUAUUUUGCCUUUUUCCUCCUUUCAGCUUCAGAGAAUCAACCGAGCAGCUUGACGGUCGACCUUGUCGUAUAUCGUUUUUUAGUAACGAAGCAUCUGUAGAUGAAGGAAAGUUGUUGCAUUCAACCUUUCUCUUCUUUAAUUCAGGUUCACCACAUUUCAUUACCGGUUGGUUUUCAAUGGCAACAUCACUGCAAUCCUACUGUCUGUUUUCAACAGCUCCAUUUUCUUUAAGAACAAAAUCAAAUUGCUCUAUGAGUGUGAAUGUAGUAUCCAUAAAGUUCUCGUUGUUAAUGAUUCCAUCAAGCCAUUGAUUAAAUGUAUCAUCUUGUAAAAUAUUCAUCUUCCUGAAAACAUAGAAAUCAUUUUAUGAGAAUUACAUGAAAACAAGUACAUACAUAUUUAAGUGAUACAAUUGGCCAACUAUGAUUGUUCAAUGUAGAAAUGCUGGUUUUGAGGCUUGUUUUCCUAUGCUUUUGCAACCAUUCAAUAAAAAUAAAAAUAAAAUCUGUAGAACAGUAGGUUUUGAGGCUUGUUUAUGUGAUCUUUUGGGCUUAGCCAAAGGUCUUUACAAUUGGCCUUGGUUUUGCAAGGUUUCUUUCAUUUCUAUAUCAAAGUGACAAUUUUGGAAAUAGCACAAAUAGAUGAAAUGAGUGGGCAUCCUUCAAAUACAAAUGGCAAGUGAGCUUACCUCAUCAAAUACAAGAAAUGAACACAAUGGCCAUAAUUUUCUAUAAUUCUCCCUCUUCUUCUUUUUUUUCCCCUCAUUCUUGCUAUUUCUGUGUCAUUUUUAUUUCAGCAGGAAUUUUUUUCUUGGUUCAUUUUUCUCCCCCUUUCACCUUAAGCCUCUUUCAUAUACUUGCAGUGAUGAAAAGUGAGAAUUUGACUUCUCUUCUACCACAAGAUGAACAUCAUUCAGACCCAGCUUUUCAAGGUUUACAAAGAGUUGUUGCAAUUACACACGGUAUAUAUGCGCACACUAUGCCAACCUAGCAAGUCAUGAUUACCUCCCUCAAGUCUCAUAAAUCACUCUUUUGCUUGCUUUUCCACCGGAAAAUGAACUAUUAGGGAGCAUAUUUCCUUUAUUUAAUGAAUUUUCAGGCAGCAGAAAUGAAUUGGAAAGGGUACUUGCACUGGAAAUUGAGCUCGCGGAAGCAUUGGAAGCAAAGAAAAAAUCGAGCAUUCAUUUUCAGAGGCUCUUGCAAAGACAUUGACUGUGGAUGAGCUUUUUUAUAUGAAAGCAAUUUGCACUAUUGGAGCCAAAUAAGAAUGGGUGCAUCUCACUAGAAAACAUCAGAAUGGUUAGUUUUAUAACUUUGACUAUCUAUUUUACUGUUGACUAUCUGUAGUUAUUCUGCAAUUUCAAAUGGUUCUGUAUGUUUUAUAACUUUGUACCAAUACUCCUUUCUUCUAUGACAGUUGAAUGCUCUUCAAUAUAGACUUUCAAGCAUACAGAAACACUUUCAAGCCCCUAGUUGCAUUUGGACUCAUUGCCGUGGAGUUGGUGUUCUUGCACCUUGUAGGCAUCCUCAAAUCCUCCCAAUUGGAAAUGUAAGUGGGUGUUUCAAACUCUUACCAGGGCACUUUGUGCUAUCUUUCACUGUUUGUUUUAUUUCAGAUCUAGUCAAUAGGCAUGUCAACAAGUAACAGAGGAAGCAGAGAAGGAAUAUGAGAAAUUAUCAGACUGGAUUAGUGGAAAUAUGGAAGUAAUGAAGGUAGACAUGAUGGGUGCAUUUUUAUCAGGGUUGCAACAGACACAGGGCCUUUAUUUGGACAGGGGUAUACUGGAGCCAUGUUCAAUCCACAGUGGUCCUCUCCUAUCAGUCUUUAUUGAUCAUAGGCCGGACCUGAGAAAAGAAAAUGGAGGGGACUGUGUUCACCCCCUAUCUGGAAGGCAUGACAUCUGUAAAAUCCAAUGAAGGGAAAAUGCUGACCAAACCUUUCUUGGAUGUCUGCAAGCUUGUGUUGCCUGUUAUAGGUAUGACAUUCAUGUUCAUUUUUUCAGAAUACAAACAUGAAAACUGAAUAAGUUUUAAGCAAUCUCAUUUAGUCCUUUUAUGUUAAUUCUUAGGAUGGUGGACCUCUGUUGCAUAGCCAUUUUAUACUAAUUUUGUUUGUGCUAGAAUUAGAAGCAGGUAUGAAAGAAGCUUAACAAGUUCUUUUCUUUUUGAGAAAUAAAUCCUAAUAAGCUAGCUUGUAAAUGUGUUAACAUGUUCCAUUGUUUCUUUUUGAGAAAAAAAUUUCCAACGCACGUUGUGUUGUUAAUGCUUAUCAUGGAUUAUUCAUAAUUUUAAAGAAUCACUUCUGUUUGGCACUCGUAACUAUCAUAUCCAUCUGUUCCAAAAUGGAUGGCUGUAGAAAAUAAAGCCAAAUCAAUUAAGGGGCUGAUUUACAUUUACAUUAUUUUCAGGCAUGAUUUCCAGUUUUUUAACAUACAAAUGCUGAAUGAGCUAUAUGAGAAUGAAGUAUACUAUCUCAUAGUGACUGUCAACUAAUUCUCUAGUAAUAAUAUAUUAGUUUAUGCAAAUACUUCGUCUAUUGAGACUUUCCUUUUUGGCUUUCAUUUUACAGCUCCAAAGGUGAUGAUGAUAGUAACAAAAUCCUAUUACCAGUAAAGAAAAAGAGCAAAACAAAAGGCAUGAAUAAAGUACCAAACAAGU